AUGUCUUCCUUUUCAAUGGAGGAUUUUGUUGGAAAUGGAACUCUGAAGCAGCUUAUGCCAACGCUCUUAGAAGAAGGUUGGGAUGAUGUACCAACUUUGAAGAUUAUGAGUUCAGAGGAUAUGGGUGCAAUAAACAUGACUCAGCAACAAAAGGAUGCACUGGAAAUCAGAUCAUACCUGCAUGAUCGUGCUCUGAUGCAAUAUGCAGACAAGAUGGAGACCACUGGGAAAUGUCUUCCUGAGAUUCUUCGCUUAAGCACAGCAGAUCUAUCUGCACAAAUUGGAAUGAAGAGAGGGCACGUUGCCCGUUUCUUGGACAGAACCAGCCCGUAUGCAGUAGAUCCUCUGCCUGCUUCAUACGUUGCCCCUUCAAGGAGAAAACUGGCCACACCUUCUAGAAAUAAUAGCAUUUACACAAGUGAGAUUGGUUCUUUCGACUCCAGAAAGAUGCAGAGUAUACUGAAAUCCCCAGGAAGAAGUAGUACCAACUAUGAUAUGUCACUCGAGCGAUCAGUGGCUGAUUUGAAGAUCAAAGAAGGACAUAUCUUUAAGGGGAUUGUGGCUGCCUGUCCUGCAGAGCCCAGGGCAUGUGGCUGUGUACAGCCUCCUCCAAUAGUUGAUGAUGUUGCUCCGUACUCUGCAAUUGAAAACAUCUCAAUUCAGAAACUAACUCCAGAAUAUAAGAUUGGGAAGGAGCGCUUGGUGAAAACAAGGACGCCACCAUUUAAGGCUUCUGAACUAUGGCUUGAUAAACCAGCUCUAAUCCUUUGUAUCAGGCGGCCAGGGUGCAUCAUGUGCAGAGCUGAGGCCCACAAGCUCUAUGCCAAAAAACCCAUAUUUGACGCGCUUGGAGUUCGUUUAUUUGCAAUUCUUCAUGAAGAAAUAGAGGGCGAGGUGAAUGACUUCUGGCCUCGCUACUGGGGAGGAGUCAUACUAUUCGACAAAGGCAUGGAUUUUUUUAAAGCCCUCGGUGGCGGGAAGCUGCUCAAGGAUAAAUUCAUAUCAGGAUUUUUGUUGAACCCUCGAGCUAUUUCAAAUUACAAACGUGCAAAAGCAAUAGGAUUGGAGAGUAACUUCAGAGGAGAAGGUGAAAUAAAAGGUGGACUGUUCGUAGUUGGCAAAGGAAGGAGUGGAAUUGCUUACCAAUUUAUAGAGAGGAACUUCGGAGACUGGGCACCUCUUGCUGAAAUCCUUGAGAUCUGUAGUCGGUUGCAGAACCAACAGCUAAGUCAGGGGGAAUCUUUCAAAACAAACGAGUAUGAAUCCGGAGUCUCGACUUAGCUGCAACAACGACAAUCACAAGCUUUACUUCUACUAAGUGCGGUCAGCAACCUACCUGUCAAAAUUUGAAAUAAUUAUCAUAUUUUGAUUCUCACCCACGGAGCCGUUUCUCUUUUGCUGAAAUUCGUUCUAUCUUCUCUGGGGAAUCAAAUGCUCAAAUGGUGUAACAAGCGAGGCCUCAUCGCAUCAGCUGACCAUCCAAUCUAAGCUGAGAUAAGCCUACAAUAUGUC